CGGAACGGGUGAGUAACGCGUGAGGAACCUGCCUCAAAGAGGGGGACAACAGUUGGAAACGACUGCUAAUACCGCAUAAGCCCACGGCUCGGCAUCGAGCAGAGGGAAAAGGAGCAAUCCGCUUUGAGGUGGCCUCGCGUCCGAUUAGCUAGUUGGUGAGGUAACGGCCCACCAAGGCGACGAUCGGUAGCCGGACUGAGAGGUUGAACGGCCACAUUGGGACUGAGACACGGCCCAG
rnacentral:rRNA from 1 species